CAAUUCUCCUGCCUCAGCCUCUUGAGUAGCUGGGAUUACAGGUGCUCACCACCUGUAACUGUAAAAGGUCAGUUUUAAUGAGUUUAAUCAACCAUACCUGGUUGGUUUUUGUAUUUGUAAAACCAAUUUUUAAGUGACUAAUUUUACAUUUAUGUGCUCAGAUAAGGCCAUGUCUAUAAGGCACAUACAUAUAUGUGGAGCUUGAUAUCAGUGAACCAUUAGAAAAUCAUUUUCCCCCUUAACAUUUCAUAACAAGAUGAUUUCAUUCUCAAUGGGAAGGGAAGAUUGGGUAGGAGAUCAGGAAUGCUAAGGUUUCAAUACAGCCCAGUAAUUUUUGGGGGAAUGGAGGCUGGUAAGUUUUGAAAUUAUUUUACCUUGUAAAUGCGAACUAGUUGAAGCUCAGUCAUUGUGUGUAUUUUUUGGAAUGAUACAAAUACUGGGUAUGAAACAAGUAGACUGUAAUAAGUUAGCGUUUUUUUUUUUCUGGGUGUGUGCAUGCAAGUCUGCUUUCUUUUCUUUUUUUGCCUGCUGACAUGGCUGACAGGGAACAAACAUUGAAAUUACUGCUUUAAUUUGGCCAAAAUGAGCUUGUUCGCUGUGAAUAUCAUGCUGGCCUUAAUCAGUCCAAAGGACUUCCUUCCUGCUUUCAGGGAGACUGCAUAUUAACAUAGCCUCCUUUCUGUCUUCAAAUCAGGCCCUGAUAACAGCUGGAAAUAGGCACAGCAUUAAAGAGGAAAUAAGGAAGGGCCCAUUAUCGACAAUAUGUGGAAGAGAUUUUUAGUAAGUUUCAUUUUGAUGUUAGAAUGACACAAAGAUGGCUAUGAAAGCCUGUAGGCAUUUUUUCAGUAGUACUCUGCAUUUAUGAUCUCAAUUUAGGUGAGUUCUCUUCUAGAAGGUUUGAAGAGCAUAUACCUGUUCACUGAGAUAGCACUUGUUUUUUGAAAGACUGUGGUUUUUAGUUCUUUUGGCUCCUCUGAAACUCAUUUGACAUCUCUGAGAGUUUCCUCGUCUCUAAAAUAGGGAUGAUCUCAACAUUCCCUUGCUUAAUAGCAUAGGAAAAAGAUAGCAUCUCUUAGUACAAAAUCUCUUAGCUCACAAAUUUUUUGAAGAUAUAUGUACAUUUGUAAUAUACAUUUAUUCUCCAGGUGCAGUGGCAGGCACCCCAGCUACUCAGGAGGCUGAGGCAGGAGGAUAGCUUGAGCCCAGGA